rnacentral:rRNA from 1 species
CCUACGGGAGGCUGCAGUGGGGAAUAUUGCGCAAUGGGCGAAAGCCUGCCGCAGCGACGCCGCGUGAGGGAUGAAGGUCUUCGGAUCGUAAACCUCUGUCAGCAGGGAAGAACGGACACUGUGCUAAUCAGCAGUGAAUUGACGGUACCUGCAAAGGAAGCACCGGCUAACUCCGUGCCAGCAGCCGCGGUAAUACGGAGGGUGCGAGCGUUAAUCGGAAUUACGGGGCGUAAAGCGCUCGUAGGCGGUAUGGCAAGUCAAGGGUGAAAUCCCCGCGCUCAACGUGGGAACUGCCUUUGAAACUGGCAAACUGGAGUGUGUGAGAGGAUAGUGGAAUUCCAGGUGUAGGAGUGAAAUCCGUAGAUAUCUGGAGGAACAUCAGUGGCGAAGGCGACUAUCUGGCACAUAACUGACGCUGAGGAGCGAAAGCGUGGGUAGCAAACAGGAUUAGAUACCCUUGUAGUC